rnacentral:rRNA from 1 species
UACGCAGGGUGCGAGCGUUAAUCGGAAUUACUGGGCGUAAAGCGUGCGCAGGCGGUUCGUUAUGUCCGAUGUGAAAGCCCCGAGCUCAACUUGGGAAUGGCAUUGGAAACUGGCGGGCUGGAGUGUGGCAGAGGGGGGUGGAAUUCCACGUGUAGCAGUGAAAUGCGUAGAGAUGUGGAGGAACACCGAUGGCGAAGGCAGCCCCCUGGGCCAACACUGACGCUCAGGCACGAAAGCGUGGGGAGCAAACAGG